GAAGACCAAGGGUUCCUGUCCAACGUUAAUCGGGGCAGGGUAAGUCGACCCCUAAGGCGAGGCCGAAAGGCGUAGUCGAUGGGAAACGGGUUAAUAUUCCCGUACUUCUUACAAUUGCGAUGGGGGGGACGGAGAAGGCUAGGUGGGCCUGGCGACGGUUGUCCAGGUUCAAGUGCGUAGGCUUAAGAGUUAGGUAAAUCCGGCUCUUUUUAAGGCUGAGACACGACGUCGAGCACCUACGGGUGUGAAGUCAUUGAUGCCAUGCUUCCAGGAAAAGCCUCUAAGCUUCAGAUUGUAAGGAAUCGUACCCCAAACCGACACAGGUGGUCGGGUAGAGAAUACCAAGGCGCUUGAGAGAACUCGGGUGAAGGAACUAGGCAAAAUGGUACCGUAACUUCGGGAGAAGGUACGCUCUUGAUGGUGAAGUCCCUUGCGGAUGGAGCUAUUGAGAGUCGCAGAUACCAGGUGGCUGCAACUGUUUAUUAAAAACACAGCACUGUGCAAAAUCGUAAGAUGACGUAUACGGUGUGACGCCUGCCCGGUGCCGGAAGGUUAAUUGAUGGGGUUAGACUUC
rnacentral:rRNA from 1 species